rfam:TPA: Bos taurus chromosome 19, whole genome shotgun sequence.
UCCCUGGCAGUCCAGUGGUUAGGACUCUGCUCUUCCAAUGCAGGGGGUGAGGGUUCAGUCCCCACUCAGGGAA